rnacentral:rRNA from 1 species
UACGUAGGGUGCAGGCGUUAAUCGGAAUUACUGGGCGUAAAGCGUGCGCAGGCGGUUUGCUAAGACAGGUGUGAAAUCCCCGGGCUUAACCUGGGAACUGCGCUUGUAACUGGCAAGCUAGAGUGUGGCAGAGGGGGGUGGAAUUCCACGUGUAGCAGUGAAAUGCGUAGAGAUGUGGAGGAACACCGAUGGCGAAGGCAGCCCCCUGGGCUAAC